rnacentral:rRNA from 1 species
CGAUACCUACGGGAGGCAGCAGUGGGGAAUACUGCACAAUGGGGGAAACCCUGAUGCAGCGACGCCGCGUGAGUGAAGAAGUAUUUCGGUAUGUAAAGCUCUAUCAGCAGGGAAGAAAAUGACGGUACCUGACUAAGAAGCCCCGGCUAACUACGUGCCAGCAGCCGCGGUAAUACGUAGGGGGCAAGCGUUAUCCGGAUUUACUGGGUGUAAAGGGAGCGUAGGUGGCAUGGUAAGCCAGAAGUGAAAACCGAGGGCUCAACUCUGCGGAUUGCUUUUGGAACUAUCAAGCUAGAGUGAUGGAG